GACGAACGCUGGCGGCGUGCUUAACACAUGCAAGUCGAACGGAAAGGCCCUGCUUUUGUGGGGUGCUCGAGUGGCGCACGGGUGAGUAACACGUGAGUAACCUGCCCUUGACUUUGGGAUAACUUCAGGAAACUGGGGCUAAUACCGGAUAGGAGCUCCUGCUGCAUGUUGGGGGUUGGAAAGUUUCGGCGGUUGGGGAUGGACUCGCGGCUUAUCAGCUUGUUGGUGGGGUAGUGGCUUACCAAGGCUUUGACGGGUAGCCGGCCUGAGAGGGUGACCGGCCACAUUGGGACUGAGAUACGGCCCAGACUCCUACGGGAGGCAGCAGUGGGGAAUAUUGCACAAUGGGCGGAAGCCUGAUGCAGCAACGCCGCGUGCGGGAUGACGGCCUUCGGGUUGUAAACCGCUUUCGCCUGUGACGAAGCGUGAGUGACGGUAAUGGGUAAAGAAGCACCGGCUAACUACGUG
rnacentral:rRNA from 1 species